CUUGGUCAUUUAGAGGAAGUAAAAGUCGUAACAAGGUUUCCGUAGGUGAACCGCGGAAGGAUCAUUACGUUCAGUAGCCUAGCUACUGUCAGUGGGGCUCGUUAGUCUGCAUAGCUUAAACGCUGAUGAGCAGCAGGCCCCCUGUCUUCACCCUUGUUUUUUGCGUACCCAUGUUUCCUCGGUGGGCUUGCCCGCCGGCUGGACAAAACUAUAACCUAUUUAAUUUUCAAUCAGCGUCUGAAAUAAUUUUAAUAAUUACAACUUUCAACAACGGAUCUCUUGGUUCUGGCAUCGAUGAAGAACGCAGCGAAAUGCGAUAAGUAGUGUGAAUUGCAGAAUUCAGUGAAUCAUCGAAUCUUUGAACGCACAUUGCGCCCCUUGGUAUUCCAUGGGGCAUGCCUGUUCGAGCGUCAUUUGUACCCUCAAGCUUUGCUUGGUGUUGGGUGUUUGUCUCGCCUCUGCGUGUAGACUCGCCUCAAAACAAUUGGCAGCCGGCGUAUUGAUUUCGGAGCGCAGUACAUCUCGCGCUUUGCACUCAGAACGACGACGUCCAAAAGUACAUUUUUACACUCUUGACCUCGGAUCAGGUAGGGAUACCCGCUGAACUUAAGCAUAUCAAUAAGCGGAGGA
rnacentral:rRNA from 1 species